UUCUGUCCUACUGGUGGCGGAGUGGGACUCCUUCAUGAUGUGGCACAGUUUCCUUGAGUUUUAGGAAGAAACGGCCCAUGUGGCAGAUUCAGAAACAAUGAAUCAGCACCUAAACAAACAGGAAGAUUUGGCACAAAAAAGUUUGCUUCGGGCAACCAUUGCCAGCUCUAUCCAGACCUCCAAGGAAAGUUUGGCAACUCUUGGGAUGGUAAAAGAGGAUAGCAGAAAGAAAACUGGGUUGGAAUCCUAACUCUAUGAUUGAAGAAGGGGAGCUGGGACCUUGAACCUCAUAAGGUGAUUAUAAGUAAUGAGAUAAUAUGCGUCUCUGGCACAUAGUAGAUGCUCAGUAAAUCAUUACACUAGCUCAUAUUCAUUGAUGUUUAUCAAGGGCUAAGUAUGUGCUAGGCCCUAGACAUAAAUCUCCUGAAUUGAAUUCAACCAGAUUAGAUCGAUUUUACACUCCUGCUUCGUUUCAGGGCAUGAGGAAUGCUGAGAGUCAGCCUCUUGGGGAAGUUCUCAAAACUUCAACUCAAUUUGUGUAGUAGUUGUGCACAAUUCAGUUUAAGGAUUCUGCCCAUCACGUGAAGGACCUCUUCAAGGAGAACUACAAAGCACUGCUCAACGAAAUAAAAGAGGAUACAAACAAAUGGAAGAACAUUCCCUGCUCCUGGGUAGGAAGAAUCAGUAUCGUGAAAAUGGCCAUACUGCCCAAGGUAAUUUAUAGAUUCAGUGCCAUCCCCAUCAAGCUACCAAUGACUUUCUUCACAGAACCAAAAAAGAGGCUGCAUUGCCAAGUCAAUCCUAAGCUGAAAGAACAAAGCUGGAGGCAUC
rnacentral:lncRNA from 10 species